AUUGCACUGGGGAUAAAUCGGGCUGCUCAUGGGAGACGCCCCCUAUGCUCCGGAGAGCCGUGUGAUGGAGACAGCGGGUGCUGCGAUGCUGCGUCUCUGGGGGGAGAGUCAGGUCCGGGCCCCCGGGCCCUGCAUCUAUGGAGUCAGGAGCCUCCGCCCCAUCCUGAUUGACACUUCCCUGUACAAAUCCUUGCUGCAAAGACCAGCCAGGGAAGUAAAUUCAGCUGGACUUAGGGAGAAACGGGAAGAGGGAACAGGAGCGAGGUGGGAAACGCCUUCAUUGCCUGCCUGUGGAUGUUACUGUCACUCACGUUUCUGCCAGUGGCGGAGCACCUCCUGUGGAGCAUGACAGCGUCUCCCUUCUCAGGAGACUGAAAAAGUGAGAAUCCUUGUCCAGUGUUUGUUAUGUCCACUGAUGUCAAUACCAGCACAGCCUCUUUCUGCUCCAGGCCGCUCUGAAGCCCUCACCAUGUCUCCUCACAAAGAUGCCUUGAGAAACCCAGAGCAGGUGGCUCUGACAAUCAUCUUCCUUUUACAGAUGGUGGUUGGGUCUCGGGCCAAUGUCAUUCUCUUCUUCCACAACAUCUCGUCAGUCUUACUUGGCCACAAGAGACCCACAGACGAUUCUCAUGCACUUGGCCGUGGCCAACCUCCUGGUUCUUCUCGGCUCUAGGAUUCCCCACACGGUGACAGAGGAACCCCCUGUCCAGGCUUGAGUGGAAGUGUGUCUAUUACAUACAGAGAGUGGCUCGCAGCACUGCCUUGAGCUCCACCUGUGACCUGAGCACCUAUCUGUUCUUCAUUCUCAUCCCUGGGACACUGGGGUGGAUGAUGCUCAGAAAAAUAGCCCCCAAGGUCAAUGGUCCUUCCUGUUUCACCUGCUGAAUGUUCAGUUCCUUCAUGACCUUCUCUGUUCCCGUGACAAUGACUGGUCCACAGAACACGGGGAAUAAUCCGGACACCGAAGGGAAGUGGGUCUCCUCAUCCUCAAGUCCCUUUGCAGGUACCGUCCUCCUGUGGCUCAUCCCUGAUGCCAUGUUUCUUGGCCUCAGGUUCUAGUCCAGUGGCUCCAUGGUGCUCCUCCUGCACAGACACCACCAGGGGGUGCAGUGUAUUCGCACCCCCA